rnacentral:rRNA from 1 species
UGGACAAUGGGCGCAAGCCUGAUCCAGCAAUGCCGCGUGCAGGAUGAAGGCCUUCGGGUUGUAAACUGCUUUUGUACGGAACGAAAAGCCCUGGGUUAAUACCCUGGGGUCAUGACGGUACCGUAAGAAUAAGCACCGGCUAACUACGUGCCAGCAGCCGCGGUAAUACGUAGGGUGCGAGCGUUAAUCGGAAUUACUGGGCGUAAAGCGUGCGCAGGCGGUUUUGUAAGACAGAGGUGAAAUCCCCGGGCUCAACCUGGGAACUGCCUUUGUGACUGCAAGGCUAGAGUACGGCAGAGGGGGAUGGAAUUCCGCGUGUAGCAGUGAAAUGCGUAGAUAUGCGGAGGAACACCGAUGGCGAAGGCAAUCCCCUGGGCCUGUACUGACGCUCAUGCACGAAAGCGUGGGGAGCAAACAGGAUUAGAUACCCUGGUAGUCCACGCCCUAAACGAUGUCAACUGGUUGUUGGGUCUUAACUGACUCAGUAACGAAGCUAACGCGUGAAGUUGACCGCCUGGG